rnacentral:rRNA from 1 species
AGGCCACUGCUGUUGGGGUUCGGCUAAGCCAUGCGAGUGGAGGGCAGUUCGGCUGCCCCGCAUACGGCUCAGUAACACGUGGUCAACCUACCCUCGAGUCUGGGACAACCCCGGGAAACUGGGGAUAAUUCUGGAUAGGUGAAGGACGCUGGAAUGCCCCUUCACCCAAAGCUCCGGCGCUCGAGGAUGGGACUGCGACCUAUCAGGCUGUUGGUGGGGUUACGGCCCACCAAACCUACGACGGGUACGGGCGAUGGGAGUCGGAGCCCGGAGAUGGGGACUGAGACAAGGCCCCAGGCCCUACGGGGCGCAGCAGGCGCGAAAACUCCGCAAUGUGCGCAAGCACGACGGGGGGACCCCAAGUGCCGGUGAACUUUGUUCGCCGGCUUUUCUGGAGUGUAAGGAGCUCCAAGAAUAAGGGCUGGGUAAGACUGGUGCCAGCCGCCGCGGUAAUACCAGCAGCCCAAGUGGUGGUCGCGAUUAUUGGGCCUAAAGCGCUCGUAGCCGGACCGGUAAGUCCUUUGUGAAAUCGGACGGCUCAACCGUUCGGCUUGCAAAGGAUACUGUCGGCCUUGGGGUCGGGAAAGGUCGGAGGUACUUCCGGGGUAGCGGUGAAAUGCUGUAAUCCCGGGGGGACCACCAGUGGCGAAGGCGUCCGACUGGAACGAACCCGACGGUGAGGGGCGAAAGCUUGGGGAGCGAACGGGAUUAGAUACCCCGGUAGUCCAAGCCGUAAAGCAUGCGGGCUAGGUGUCAGGCGUCCUUCGAGGGCGUCUAGUGCCGGAGGGAAGCCGUUAAGCCCGCCGCCUGGGAAGUACGGUCGCAAGGCUGAAACUUAAAGAAAUUGGCGGGGGAGCACCACAAGGGGUGGAGCCUGCGGUUUAAUUGGAUUCAACGCCGGACAACUCACCGGGGGCGACGGCAAGUUGAAGGCCAGGUCGACGACCUUGCUAGAUGAGCCGAGAGGUGGUGCAUGGCCGUCGUCAGCUCGUACCGUGAGGCGUCCUGUCAAGUCAGGCAACGAGCGAGACCCUCAUCUCUAGUUGCCAUCGGAUCCGAAAGGAUGCUGGGCACUCUAGGGUCACCGCUGCCGCUAAGGCAGAGGAAGGAGAGGGCGACGGUAGGUCCGUAUGCCCCGAAUCCCCCGGGCUACACGCGGGCUACAAUGGUUGAGACAAUGGGAUGCCACUCCGAAAGGAGGAGCCAAACCCUUAAACUCAACCUUAGUUCGGAUCGAGGGCUGUAACUCGCCCUCGUGAAGCUGGAAUCCCUAGUAAUCGCGUGCCAAAAUCGCGCGGUGAAUACGUCCCUGCUCCUUGCACACACCGCCCGUCAAGCCACUCGAGUAUGGUUUGGGUGAGGCCUGUUCAAGUUGGGCUGGUCAAAUCCAGAUUAUGCAAGAGGGGCU